rnacentral:rRNA from 1 species
AGUGAACGCUGGCGGUAGGCCUAACACAUGCAAGUCGAACGGCAGCACAGUAAGAGCUUGCUCUUACGGGUGGCGAGUGGCGGACGGGUGAGGAAUACAUCGGAAUCUACUUUUUCGUGGGGGAUAACGUAGGGAAACUUACGCUAAUACCGCAUACGACCUACGGGUGAAAGCAGGGGAUCUUCGGACCUUGCGCGAUUGAAUGAGCCGAUGUCGGAUUAGCUAGUUGGCGGGGUAAAGGCCCACCAAGGCGACGAUCCGUAGCGGGUCUGAGAGGAUGAUCAGCCACACUGGAACUGAGGCACGGUCCAGACUCCUACGGGAGGCAGCAGUGGGGAAUAUUGGACAAAGGGCGCAAGCCUGAUCCAGCCAUACCGCGUGGGUGAAGAAGGCCUUCGGGUUGUAAAGCCCUUUUGUUGGGAAAGAAAAGCAGCAGGUUAAUACCCCGCUGUUCUGACGGUACCCAAAGAAUAAGCACCGGCUAACUUCGUG